GACGAAGGAUGCAAGCGUUAUCCGGAUUCAUUGGGUUUAAAGGGAGCGUAGGUGGCCUUAUAAGUCAGUGGUGAAAUCUCGAGGCUUAACCUCGAAAUUGCCAUUGAUACUGUAGGGCUUGAGUACAGUUGCCGUUGGCGGAAUAUGACAUGUAGUGGUGAAAUUCAUAGAGAUGUCAUAGAACACCGAUUGCGAAGGCAGCUAACGAAACUGUAACUGACACUGAGGCUCGAAAGUGCGGGGAUCAAACAGG
rnacentral:rRNA from 1 species